rnacentral:lncRNA from 1 species
UGCUGCACACCAUCACCGCAAGAGCUUUCGCCUUCGUCCUUGGAUAUGGAACAGAUAUAUAUGCACAGCUUGUCUUGCAUAUGGAUGAUGUUGCGGUGUACGGAAUAGUGAUUGUGUCGAUCGUCUGGAUUCAUCAAAAAGCUUGUGAGCAUGCUUCAGAUCAACUCAGGUCGAGGUUGGAAUUUCUUACUGCAAGAAUAUAUCUUGACGCUCCAUGGUCUCUUUCUAUCAUAGAACCAAUACGCGAUCGGAUCAAACGCCUCAACGUUGAUUGGAUUGGGACCCUAGAGGCCUAGACGAUGAUUGUGAUGUUAUUGAUGAUGACACG